AUUGAACGCUGGCGGCAGGCCUAACACAUGCAAGUCGAGCGAGCGGCGGACGGGUGAGUAAUGUAUGGGGACUGCCCGAUAGAGGGGGAUAACUACUGGAAACGGUGGCUAUUACCGCAUAAUAUCGGAUAACCAAUAUGGGAUUAGCUAGUAGGUGGGGUAAAGGCUCACCUAGGCGACGAUCUCUAGCUGGUCUGGGAGGAUGAUCAGCCUCACUUGGACUGGACCACGUCCCUGACUCCUCCGGAGGCAGCAGUUGGUAAUAUUGCACAAUGGGCGCAAUCCUGAUGUAGCCAUACCGCGUGUAUGAAGAAGGCCUUAGGGUUGUAAAGUACUUUCAGCGGUGAGGCGUUACCCGCAGAAGAAGCACCGGCUAACUCCGUGCCAGCAGCCGCGGUAAUAC
rnacentral:rRNA from 1 species